rnacentral:rRNA from 1 species
UACGUAGGCAGCAAGCGUUGUUCGGAAUUACUGGGCGUAAAGAGUGUGUAGGCGGUGCUCCAAGUCUGGUGUGAAAUCUCCCGGCUCAACUGGGAGGGUGCAUUAGAAACUGGAAUGCUAGAGGAUGGGAGAGGUAAGCGGAAUUCCUGGUGUAGCGGUGAAAUGCGCAGAUAUCAGGAAGAACACCCGUGGCGAAAGCGGCUCUCUGGAACGGUACUGACGCUGAGACGCGAAAGCGUGGGGAGCGAACAGG